UAAAAACGAAGAAGAAGAAGGAGAAGGCAGCGGCAGCUGGCAGUGUAAACGUGAUCGCGCGCGGUUUCAUACGGUUGGAUUGUGUGUAGGGUUUCAGUGAGUAACAUGCUAGUUUGGGGAACAGUUAAGUCUUGGUCACAAGCGUUUAAAUGUGCUUAUUUGGCCAAGUUAAAAAAAAUCCAGUCGGCGUGGACCGCUAGCUAGCUGCUUCUUUCUAAUGUUAGCAUGAUUUUGAAACGACGUUCAGUUAGGCCUGUAACACGUGGAGAGGCUCGAUGGCUAACUACUGGAUGAGUGCGUUUUAAAAUAAGGUCAACUGAAGAAAAUGGCUUCCAGUCAAAGGAGUGGCUGAGGACCUGCUAUGCAUGGUCGACCUACUGAAGUGACUGCUGAGCUGAUCUAAUGAGGAAUCUUCACCAAAAAUACUUGAGUGGUUUGUCUUUUUUAUUGUAAAUUAUUUUCAAAAUAAAAGCAGAAGUCGUGGUUCAAA